rnacentral:rRNA from 1 species
GAUGAACGCUGGCGGCGUGCCUAAUACAUGCAAGUCGAGCGAACAGAUAAGGAGCUUGCUCCUUUGACGUUAGCGGCGGACGGGUGAGUAACACGUGGGUAACCUACCUAUAAGACUGGGAUAACUCCGGGAAACCGGGGCUAAUGCAGGAUAACAUGUUGAACCGCAUGGUUCUACAGUGAAAGGCGGCUUUGCUGUCACUUAUAGAUGGACCCGCGCCGUAUUAGCUAGUUGGUGAGGUAACGGCUCACCAAGGCAACGAUACGUAGCCGACCUGAGAGGGUGAUCGGCCACACUGGAACUGAGACACGGUCCAGACUCCUACGGGAGGCAGCAGUAGGGAAUCUUCCGCAAUGGGCGAAAGCCUGACGGAGCAACGCCGCGUGAGUGAUGAAGGUCUUCGGAUCGUAAAACUCUGUUAUUAGGGAAGAACAAAUGCGUAAGUAACUGUGCGCGUCUUGACGGUACCUAAUCAGAAAGCCACGGCUAACUACGUG